GCCCCGAACGGGACGGUCGUGAUGCCCGCCGCCUUGGCGGUGGCAGGCGGCACGAUGCCCGCCACGCCGUACGACUCGGUGCCCGGGGCG
rnacentral:tRNA from 1 species